ACUCCUACGGGAGGCAGCAGUGAGGAAUAUUGGUCAAUGGAGGGAACUCUGAACCAGCCAUCCCGCGUGUAGGAAGACGGCCUUAUGGGUUGUAAACUACUUUUAUACAGGAAGAAACGUACCCUCGUGAGGGUGCCUGACGGUACUGUUGGAAUUAAGCACCGGCUAACUCCGUGCCAGCAGCCGCGGUAAUACGGAGGGUGCGAGCGUUAAUCGGAAUUACUGGGUGUAAAGCGCAUGCAGGUGGUUUGUUAAGUCAGAUGUGAAAGCCCGGGGCUCAACCUCGGAAUUGCAUUUGAAACUGGCAGACUAGAGUACUGUAGAGGGGGUAGAAUUUCAGGUGUAGCGGUGAAAUGCGUAGAGAUCUGAAGGAAUACCGGUGGCGAAGGCGGCCCCCUGGACAGAUACUGACACUCAGAUGCGAAAGCGUGGGGAGCAAACAGGAUUAGAUACCCUGGUAGA
rnacentral:rRNA from 1 species